rnacentral:rRNA from 1 species
UAGGGAAUCUUCGGCAAUGGACGGAAGUCUGACCGAGCAACGCCGCGUGAGUGAAGAAGGUUUUCGGAUCGUAAAGCCCUGUUGUUAGAGAAGAACGUUUGUAGGAGUGGAAAAUCUACCAAGUGACGGUAACUAACCAGAAAGGGACGGCUAACUACGUGCCAGCAGCCGCGGUAAUACGUAGGUCCCGAGCGUUGUCCGGAUUUAUUGGGCGUAAAGCGAGCGCAGGCGGUUCUUUAAGUCUGAAGUUAAAGGCAGUGGCUUAACCAUUGUACGCUUUGGAAACUGGAGGACUUGAGGGCAGAAGGGGAGAGUGGAAUUCCAUGUGUAGCGGUGAAAUGCGUAGAUAUAUGGAGGAACACCGGUGGCGAAAGCGGCUCUCUGGUCUGUAACUGACGCUGAGGCUCGAAAGCGUGGGGAGCAAACAGG